rnacentral:rRNA from 1 species
UACGUAGGGGGCGAGCGUUGUCCGGAUUUAUUGGGCGUAAAGAGCUCGUAGGCGGCUUGGCAAGUCGGGUGUGAAACCUCCAGGCUCAACCUGGAGACGCCACUCGAUACUGCCAUGGCUAGAGUCCGGUAGGGGACCACGGAAUUCCUGGUGUAGCGGUGAAAUUCGUAGAUAUUGGGAAGAACACCGGUGGCGAAGGCGGGUCUCUGGGAAGUAACUGACGCUGAGAAGCGAAAGCGUGGGUAGCGAACAGG